GGGUGGGGGAGUGCACACCUGGAGUCCCAGCUACUUGGAAGGCACAAGUUGGAGGAUCACUUGAGCCCAGGAGUUCAAGAUCAGCAAGGGCAACAUGGUGAGAUCCUGUCU
rnacentral:sRNA from 1 species